AGCGAACGCUGGCGGCAGGCCUAACACAUGCAAGUCGAACGAACCCUUCGGGGUUAGUGGCGGACGGGUGAGUAACACGUGGGAACGUACCUUUAGGUUCGGAACAACACAGGGAAACUUGUGCUAAUGCCGAAUGUGCCCUUCGGGGGAAAGGAUUUAUCGCCUUUAGAGCGGCCCGCGUCUGAUUAGCUUGUUGGUGAGGUAAAGGCUCACCAAGGCUUCGAUCAGUAGCUGGUCUGAGAGGAUGAUCAGCCACACUGGGACUGAGACACGGCCCACGACUCCUACGGGAGGCAGCAGUGGGGAAUCUUGCGCAAUGGGCGAAAGCCUGACGCAGCCAUGCCGCGUGAAUGAUGAAGGUCUUAGGAUUGUAAAAUUCUUUCACCGGGGAAGAUAAUGACGGUACCCGGAGAAGAAGCCCCGGCUAACUUCGUG
rnacentral:rRNA from 1 species